rnacentral:lncRNA from 1 species
AUUCAAUUUUACUUUGCAUACUUAGUCAUUCAUUCUAUUACUUUUUACUUCAAUUCUCUAUACAUGCCAUAUAAAUCCAAAAAGUUAUUUAACAAAAUCUACCGGAGUAUAUCUGGAUAGUGUGAUUCUCGAUGUAGAUCCGAUCCUCCGAAUGUAUAAAUACGUUAAUCUACAAAAAACAAUAAACACACACAUGUAAGCUUAUAGAAAAGCUUAGUAAGUUCAUAGGCAUAAAACAUAAAUCUUACCAAACAUUUGUACACUUAUACAAUAUACACCAUUACUAAGUUUACCUGUCAACCACAAUCUUUGGUGAGUUCCUUGGUAUAAACUCACUACUACUUAUUCUUUUACCAUAAUUCCUUUGGGCCCAUUUGUCACUUACCAUCCUUGAUCAAAAUUAAGGAACGGUUACGGAAAAUUGAGUACUUCACUUUCACUUUACCAUAGUAUAACUAUGGUCUUACGUAUGAUCACUUAUCAUUUGUCCUUGAUCAGAUAAGUGUAGCUAAGCUACCACUUAUCACUUUGUCACUUGAUCAGAUAAGUAUAGCACUUAUCACUUUUUCACUUGAUCAGAUAAGUGUAGCUAAAGCUACCACUUAUCACUUUGCCUCUUGAUCAGAUAAGUGUAGCACUUAUCACUUUUUCACUUGAUCAAAUAAGUGUAGCUAAAGCUACCAUUUAUCACUUUAUCUCUUGAUCAGAAGUACUCAAAUCUGGCGUUCCGCUAAAUUUGAUCUUUAUUCGAUUUUUGCAUUUUUAUUUUACUCUCAUUUCAACACUAAAUAUAUUUCAUCAUACAUUAUAUAAUUCAUGAAAUUAACAUUUAAUCAUUAAAUUUAGUCAUAUGAACUUACCUGGGUCGAUUUGCAGAAUUUGUAAAAGUUCAGGGACUAAUCAACUACUUUUUAUUUUCCUCGGCUUGCUUCGGGUUCUCGAUCUAAAAUACAAAUUUAUUCAUUCAUCAGCAUAUAAUUCUAUUCUAAUUCAUUUCAC